rnacentral:rRNA from 1 species
AGCGAACGCUGGCGGCAGGCUUAACACAUGCAAGUCGAACACCCCGCAAGGGGAGUGGCAGACGGGUGAGUAACACGUGGGAACGUACCCUUUGGUUCGGAAUAACUUGGGGAAACUCAAGCUAAUACCGGAUAAGCCCUUAUGGGGAAAGGUUUACUGCCGAAGGAUCGGCCCGCGUCUGAUUAGCUAGUUGGUGAGGUAAUGGCUCACCAAGGCGACGAUCAGUAGCUGGUCUGAGAGGAUGAUCAGCCACACUGGGACUGAGACACGGCCCAGACUCCUACGGGAGGCAGAAGUGGGGAAUAUUGGACAAUGGGGGCAACCCUGAUCCAGCCAUGCCGCGUGAGUGAUGAAGGCCUGAGGGUUGUAAAGCUCUUUUACCCGGGACGAUAAUGACUGUACCGGGAGAAUAAGCCCCGGCUAACUUCGUGCCAGCAGCAGCCGCUG